AACUUUCUGAAAAUUCCCCACAAUUCCCCCCCCCCAAAAAAAAUCACAAAAAAUCCCAAAAUUUCCCCAAAAAUCCCCAAAUUUCCCCCAAAUUUCCCGGAUUUCCCCCCUUACCUGGGCUCGGAUCCGGGGCUUCAGCAGGAGCCAUUUGGGGUUUUCUAUACGGGAUUUUCUAUAGGGAAACUUGGGAUUUUCUAUAGGGGAUUUGGGAUUUUCCAUAGGGGAAUUUCUAUAGGGGAUUUGGGUUUUUUUUCUAUAGGGGAUUUGGGGUUUUCUACAAGGGAUUUUCUAUAGGAGAACUGGGAUUUUCUAUAGGGGAAAUUUCAGAUUUUCCAUAGGGGAAUUUCUAUAGGGGAUUUGGGGUUUUUUUCCAUAGGGGAUUUGGGAUCCCCUAUAGAGAAAUUUGGGAUUUUCCAUAGGGGAAUUUGGGAUCCUCUAAAGAGGAUUUAGGAUUUUCCAUCAGGGAUUUUCUAUAGGGGAAACUGGGGUUUUCUACAGGGAAAUUUGGGAUUUUCCAUAGGGGAAUUUCUAUAGGGGAUUUGGGAUUUUCCAUACAAGAUUUGAGAUCGCCUACAGAGAUUCAGGUGUCUCUAUAGGGGAUUUAGGUGCCACUAGGACCUCCUAUAGAAUGGGUAAAAUUCCCCUAUAGAAUAAGUAGGGUCCCCUAUAAAAUGUACAGAAUCCCCUAUGGAAUGUGCAGGGUCCCCUGUAGGAUCCCCUAUAGAAGCCCCCAUGGGAUCCCCUAUAGGGUGUGUAGGGGCCGGUGUGUGCCGGGGCCGUGGCGGAUCCCCCGCGGGGUCCCCCACAGGAGCAGGGUCCCCUAUGGGAUCCAUACGGCCCCGGCCGUAGGUGACCCCGGCCUUGCUGUGGCCUCGGCCCCCGGGGGCAGCGCACGGCAUAGCGCCCCCCGCUGGGGGAUGGGGCCCCUAUGGAGCCCCUAUGGAUCCUCUAUGGAUCAGCUAUUGGAGCCCCUAGAGAUACCCUAUAGAUCCCCCAUGGGUCAGCUAUGGAUCCUCUAUGGGUCAGCUAUGGAUCAGGUAUGGGGGCCCCUAUGGAUACCCUAUAGAUCCCCCAUGGAUCCCCUAUGGGAGCCCCUAUGGAUCCCCCAUGGAUCAUCUAUGGGAGCCCCUAGAGAUACCCUACAGAUCCUCAAUGGAUCCCCUAUGGGAGCCCCAUGGAUCCCCCAUGGAUCAGGUAUGGGGGCCCCUACAGAUCCCCUAUGGAUCAGCUAUGGAUCCCCUAUGGGAGCCCCUUUGGAUCCCCUAUGGAUUCCCCAUGGAUCCCCUAUAGAUCCCUUAUAGAUCCCCUAUGGAUCAGCUAUGGAUCCCCUAUGGGAGCCCCUUUGGAUCCCCUAUGGAUUCCCCAUGGAUCCCCUAUAGAUCCCCCUAUGGAUCCCUUAUAGAUCCCCUAUAGAUCAUCUAUGGGACCCCUAUGGAAUCAUUAUGGGGACUCAGGGAAUCCCCUGUGGGAUCCCCUAUGGAUCCCUUAUAGAUCCCCUAUGGGAGCCCUGCAGACCCCCUAUGGAAUCCCCUAUGGAUGCCUCUGGGUCCCCUAUAGAUCCCUGUGAAUCCCCCCAGGGAAUCCCCUAUGGAUCCCCUAUAGAAUCCCACAGACCCCUCCCCAAAAAGGAUCCCAGGGAGGGGCUGGGCAGCACCUACAGAGCCCCUAUAGGGCCCCAGUGACCCCUACAGAGCCCCCAUGUCCCCUAUAGGGUCCCCAUGUCCCCUAUAGGGCCCCUGAACCCCCUCCCCAAAGUCACCAAAUCCCCCUACAGAGCCCCUAUAGGGCCCCAGUGACCCCUAUAGAGCCCCCAUGUCCCCUAUAGGGCCCCAGUGACCCCUAUAGAGCCCCCAUGUCCCCUAUAGGGUCCCCAUGUCCCCUAUGGGGUCACCAUGUCCCCUAUAGGGCCCCUGAACCCCCCCCCAAAGUCACCAAAUCCCCCUACAGAGCCCCUAUAGGGCCCCAGUGACCCCUAUAGAACCCUUACGGUCCCAUACAGGACCCCUAUAGGGCCCCAGUGUCCCCUAUGGAACCCCUAAACCAC
ensembl:lncRNA